ACGACAAGGAGAAAUGUUAAAAUGAAGACUAUUGUGAGCUUUUUUUUCACGAGGUUUAAGCUAAAUGGAAACAGUGUGAAUAGAAAAGAACCUCUAUGGAAACUUGUGAAGUGUGCUCAACAAAGAGGUGGUACC